rnacentral:rRNA from 1 species
GUGCCAGCAGCCGCGGUAAGACGAACCGUCCAAACGUUAUUCGGAAUCACUGGGCUUAAAGGGCGCGUAGGCGGCCGAGCGGGUCGCGGGUGAAAUCCUCCAGCUUAACUGGAGAACUGCCCUCGAUACCACUGCGGCUCGAGGAAGGAAGGGGCAAUCGGAACUGUCGGUGGAGCGGUGAAAUGCGUUGAUAUCGACAGGAACGCCGGUGGCGAAAGCGGAUUGCUGGUCCUUUUCUGACGCUGAGGCGCGAAAGCCAGGGGAGCAAACGGGAUUAGAAACCCCCGUAGUCC